rnacentral:rRNA from 1 species
UACGAAGGGGGCUAGCGUUGCUCGGAAUCACUGGGCGUAAAGCGCACGUAGGCGGCUUUUUAAGUCAGAGGUGAAAUCCUGGAGCUCAACUCCAGAACUGCCUUUGAUACUGGAGGGCUUGAGUCCGGGAGAGGUGAGUGGAACUGCGAGUGUAGAGGUGAAAUUCGUAGAUAUUCGCAAGAACACCAGUGGCGAAGGCGGCUCACUGGCCCGGUACUGACGCUGAGGUGCGAAAGCGUGGGGAGCAAACAGG